GACGAACGCUGGCGGCGUGCCUAAUACAUGCAAGUCGAACGCAGUGGGGACGGGUGAGUAACACGUGGGUAACCUCCCAUCAGAGGGGAUAACACUUGGAAACAGGUGCUAAACCGAUACUGAUGGAUGGACCCGCGGUGCAUUAGCUAGUUGGUGAGGUAACGGCUAACCAAGGCCACGAUGCGUAGCCGGGCUGAGAGGGUGACCAGCCACACUGGGACUGAGACACGGCCCAGACUCCUACGGGAGGCAGCAGUGGGGAAUUUUGGGCAAUGGAGGAAAGUCUGACCGAGCAAUGCCGCGUGAGUGAAGAAGGUUUUCGGAUCGUAAAACUCUGUUGUUAGAGAAGCGGUAUCUAACGAAAAAGCAACGGCUAACUACGUGCCAGCCGCCGCGGUAAUUC
rnacentral:rRNA from 1 species